CGAUAUGGCGGGCCGCAUGGGGAGACCUUCGGGUCUGCCGGCUUCUAGUGGUCGGUCUGCUAACCCUGUGCGGUUCCGCCUCCAUC
rnacentral:antisense_RNA from 1 species